AACAUUGCACAGUGGCAAUACCAUAGUCAAUGAGUUUAAUCUGAGGUGCGAUUAUUGCUAAUUGAAAACUUUUCCCAAUACCCCAUCAUGACAACUUGAAAUAUAGUCGGCAUUGGCACCAAUAUUUGCAGGGCCACCAAGAUGAUCAGGGGAAUGGA
rnacentral:snRNA from 1 species